UACGGAGGGUGCAAGCGUUAUUCGGAAUUACUGGGCGUAAAGCGUGCGCAGGCGGUUUGUUAAGUCCGUUGUGAAAGCCCCGAGCUCAACUUGGGAAUUGCAGUGGAUACUGGCAGGCUGGAGUACGGUAGAGGAAGGUGGAAUUCCCGGUGUAGCAGUGAAAUGCGUAGAGAUCGGGAGGAACACCAGUGGCGAAGGCGGCCUUCUGGACCAGUACUGACGCUCAUGCACGAAAGCGUGGGGAGCAAACAGG
rnacentral:rRNA from 1 species